CAAGKCUUGACAUAUACGAGAACGGGCCAGAAAUGGUCADCUCCUUUGGACACUCGUAAACAGGUGGUGCAUGGUUGUCGUCAGCUCGUGUCGUGAGAUGUUGGGUUAAGUCCCGCAACGAGCGCAACCCUCGUUCUAUGUUGCCAGCACGUAAUGGUGGGAACUCAUGGAUACUGCCGGGGUCAACUCGGAGGAAGGUGGGGAUGACGUCAAAUCAUCAUGCCCCUUAUGUCUUGGGCUUNCACGCAUGCUACAAUGGNCCGGUACAAAGGGCUGCAAUACCGCGAGGUGGAGCGAAUCCCAAAAAGCCGGKCUCAGUUCSGAUUGAGGUCCGCAACUCGACCUCAUGAAGUCGGARUCGCUAGUAAUCBCWGUUUCARCMACCYUSCGGUSAAWAACUUCCC
rnacentral:rRNA from 1 species